GGUGGAGCGAUUUGUCUGGUUAAUUCCGAUAACGAACGAGACUCUAGCCUACUAAAUAGACGACUCUUCUUUCAGAGUGUCGUGCUUCUUAGAGGGACAAGCGGCGUUUAGCUGCACGAGAUUGAGCAAUAACAGGUCUGUGAUGCCCUUAGAUGUCCGGGGCUGCACGCGCGCUACACUGAAGGCAUCAGCGUGCAUAUCGACCUACUCCGGAAGGAGCGGGUAACCCGUUGAAACGCUUUCGUGAUUGGGAUAGGGAAUUGCAAUUAUUUCCCUUGAACGAGGAAUUCCCAGUAAGUGCGAGUCAUCAGCUCGCGUUGAU
rnacentral:rRNA from 1 species